UGCUUCUAAAUUGUCUUAGUUACCCUUUCCCCUACUUUACCUCUAUUUGUUAACUACUUUGCAGAGCUCAUGCUGAUGAGAUAACUAAUGGACGCAAUUUAAACCUUGAUGUUGUUGAGAGGAUUCAAAACGAUAAGUUCCACGAAUGGUUCCAAGCUCAUAUAAAGAAAUUGGAGAAGGGAAAUGGCGUCCAUAGUAUUGAAAAGGAUAUUAGAUUGUUGGCCCGGGGCCCAGUUAAUGCAGCCAAAAGAUAUUGCGCUUUCAACUCCCGAGGCUACCAUUUUAGGCCUAAACGCUUGGAUAAAGAGACACAAAAUAGUGGAGUCAUGGUAACUGCAAAAACAUCUCGUUAUGAUUCAACACGCGAUGCUAAUGCAGUUUUACAGGAUGUGACGUACUAUGGGAGGGUAAUUGAUAUUGUCGAGCUAAACUACUCUGGAUAGUUUUCACUUGUGUUGUUUAGAUGUGAAUGGGUUAAUGUGUUCUCAGAAAAAGGAAUGAAAAAAGACAAGUACGGUUACACACUUGUCAAUUUCUCACAUCAAAUACACAAAGGAGAAAAGAUUGAGCAUGAGCCUUUUAUUUUCCCUAACCAGGCGAAUCAAGUGUUCUAUGUGAAAGAUGAAUUGAAUCCAGGUUGGUUUGUGGUAAUGAAGUUGCCAAAGCCUAGAAAUGUAUAUGACUUAGGUAACUUGGAAUGGGAAGAGGAGACAGAAAACCAGCCAUUUCAUGUUUCACAGCUUGGAGAGAUUUUGAAAAGAAAGAACAAUGACCAACACUGGGUUAGAACAGACGUUGAGGGGACAAUAGUGGAUGCUACUAGUGCUUCGAGCACCGAAGAAUAGUUGAGGUUAGUAGCAACAAGGUAUGCACUAUGUUCAGGUUUCGACUACAUGCUGCAUGGAGGCAUGGAGGGGUGGUGGCAUGUGUGCUUUGUGUUGGUACAGAACUGCUUGGUGGCUUCGUGCAGAGUAGCUAACAAACUUGCUUGACGAUAUACUAAUGUGUGAGACUAUGUGUUGGUUAAAACUUAGUGUACUCUUAUAUUUAUGCUUGAUAAUUUGGUUCGCUAUGACAUCACAUGCUUAUCUGGAACUUCAUUUUUUACUUUGAUCAACAACAGUUCAUAAUUAAGAUAACGCAACUUGUUUGGAAA